GUAGCCAAGCCUGGCCAACGGCGCAGGACUUAAGAUCCUGUCCCGAAGGGGUCCGCGAGUUCAAAUCUCGCCCCCUGCA
rnacentral:tRNA from 1 species